UUCUUUAAAAUUAAAAGAUUUGGCGGUAUUUUAGUCUGUUCAGAGGAAAUAGUUAUUUAAUUGAUAAUCCACGAUAAUUUUUACUUUAAUUUUUAAUUUAUAUAUCGUCGUUUAUAAAAAAUUUUAUUAAAUAAUUUUUUCAGAUCAAGGUGUAGUUUAUAUUAGAGUUAUAAUGGGUUACAUUAGAAUAGAAGAAUAAAAUGGAUUUGGGAGUAAGCUCUAAAAUAUGUACAUAUCGCCCGUCGCUUUCAUUUAAGGUGGAAUAAGUCGUAACAAAGUAGGCUUAUUGGAAAAUGAGCCUGGAAUGCAAGUUAGAGCUUGUUAAGCAAUUUAUUUACAUUAAGGAGUUGACUGUGAAAUUCAGUUUUACUUGAAAGUUUAGGUUUACUUGUUUUUUUGAUUUUAUUUUUUUAUUGGAAGUAUAUUUAUUUUUAUUAUUAUUUUGAAUAAAUUUUGUUAUAGUUUAUUAGUACUGUGAAGGUUGAUUUUAUUUUAAAGAAAAUUUAUAUUAUUGUACCUUGUGUAUCAGGGUUAAUUAAUUUAUUUUUCCCGAAUUUUAAAGAGUUAUUUUUAAUGUUGAAUUAUUAUUUAUGAUUUAUAAAUAGAAAUGAAAUGUUAUUCGAUUUUUAAUAUAUCUGGUUUACAAAGACAAUGAUUUAAUUAUGUGUAGGUUAAUAUAAUUAUUAAGGGAUAAGCUUUUUACUAGGUUAUUAUAAAUCAAUAUUUAUUAGUAUUUUAUAGGAUUAGAAUUUUUCAUUUUUAAUAUUAUGUUGUAAAUUUUUAAUUUUUUUAUUUGUAAAUUAAAUUUAUUAUAGAUUUUUAUGUUAUUAUGAUUAAAUUAGUAAGGUUAUAAAUAGGAAUUCGGCAAAUAUAAUUUUCACCUGUUUAUUAAAAACAUGUCCUUUAGUUUAUUUUAAGGUCAGGCCUGCCCAAUGAUUAAAUGGCCGCAGUAUUUUGACUGUGCAAAGGUAGCAUAAUCAUUAGUUUCUUAAUUGGAAGCUGGAAUGAAGGGUUUAAUGAAAAAUUAACUGUCUUUAGAAUUUUAUUUUUGAGUUAAAAAGCUUAAAUUUUUUAUAAAGACGAGAAGACCCUAUAGAGUUUGGAUUAAUAUAAUUUUAAUUUUUUUUGUA
rnacentral:rRNA from 1 species